AGAGUUUGAUCCUGGCUCAGGAUGAACGCUAGCUACAGGCUUAACACAUGCAAGUCGAGGGGCAGCGGGAUUGAAGCUUGCUUCAAUUGCCGGCGACCGGCGCACGGGUGAGUAACGCGUAUCCAACCUUCCGUACACUCAGGGAUAGCCUUUCGAAAGAAAGAUUAAUACCUGAUGGUAUCUUAAGCACACAUGUAAUUAAGAUUAAAGAUUUAUCGGUGUACGAUGGGGAUGCGUUCCAUUAGGUAGUAGGCGGGGUAACGGCCCACCUAGCCUACGAUGGAUAGGGGUUCUGAGAGGAAGGUCCCCCACAUUGGAACUGAGACACGGUCCAAACUCCUACGGGAGGCAGCAGUGAGGAAUAUUGGUCAAUGGACGAGAGUCUGAACCAGCCAAGUAGCGUGAAGGAUGAAGGUCCUACGGAUUGUAAACUUCUUUUAUAAGGGAAUAAACCCUCCCACGUGUGGGAGCUUGUAUGUACCUUAUGAAUAAGCAUCGGCUAACUCCGUGCCAGCAGCCGCGGU
rnacentral:rRNA from 1 species